rnacentral:rRNA from 1 species
AACGAACGCUGGCGGCAGGCUUAACACAUGCAAGUCGAGCGCAUCCUUCGGGGUGAGCGGCAGACGGGUGAGUAACGCGUGGGAACGUACCCUUUCCUACGGAAUAGCUCCGGGAAACUGGAAUUAAUACCGUAUACGCCCUUAGGGGGAAAGAUUUGUCGGGGAAGGAUCGGCCCGCGUUGGAUUAGCUAGUUGGUGGGGUAAAGGCCUACCAAGGCGACGAUCCAUAGCUGGUCUGAGAGGAUGAUCAGCCACAUUGGGACUGAGACACGGCCCAAACUCCUACGGGAGGCAGCAGUGGGGAAUAUUGGACAAUGGGCGCAAGCCUGAUCCAGCCAUGCCGCGUGAGUGAUGAAGGCCUUAGGGUUGUAAAGCUAUCUCAGUAGGGAAGAUAAUGACGGUACCUACAGAAGAAGCCCCGGCUAACUUCGUGCCAGCAGCCGCCGUAA